ensembl:misc_RNA Metazoa_SRP Metazoan signal recognition particle RNA
GCUGGGUAUGGUGGUGGGCGCCUGUAAUCCCAGCUACUCGGGAGGCUGAGGCAGGAGAAUCGCUUGAACCCGGGAGGCAGGGGUUGCAGUGAGCCAAGGUCGCACGCCAUUGAACUCCAGCCUGGGUGACAGAGCGAGACUCUGUCUCAA